rnacentral:rRNA from 1 species
AGUGAACGCUGGCGGUAGGCCUAACACAUGCAAGUCGAACGGCAGCACAGUAAGAGCUUGCUCUUACGGGUGGCGAGUGGCGGACGGGUGAGGAAUACAUCGGAAUCUACUUUUUCGUGGGGGAUAACGUAGGGAAACUUACGCUAAUACCGCAUACGACCUACGGGUGAAAGCAGGGGAUCUUCGGACCUUGCGCGAUUGAAUGAGCCGAUGUCGGAUUAGCUAGUUGGCGGGGUAAAGGCCCACCAAGGCGACGAUCCGUAGCUGGUCUGAGAGGAUGAUCAGCCACACUGGAACUGAGACACGGUCCAGACUCCUACGGGAGGCAGCAGUGGGGAAUAUUGGACAGUGGGCGCAAGCCUGAUCCAGCCAUACCGCGUGGGUGAAGAAGGCUUUCGGGUUGUAAAGCCCUUUUGUUGGGAAAGAAAAGCAGCAGGUUAAUACCCCGCUGUUCUGACGGUACCCAAAGAAUAAGCACCGGCUAACUUCGU